rnacentral:lncRNA from 1 species
GAAUGACGCACAGCUAUACUAUUCUCACCAAAGCUCUGAUACCAUUUGUGUGUAUUAAUAUAUAACAGUACAUAGGUUGUACUGAAACCAUUUGUACAAGAGAACAAAAGGAAAGACUAACCGAUCUACAAUCCUAGCAGUAUUUUAAAACUUCUAGGAUUGAUACGGUAUCUUCUAGCGACUUCUGUUUACACCAAAUAUAAAAAAGAACACAAUUCAGUUUGAUCUUCUGCACUAAUUGCUACUGUCUUCAAAACACCUAGAGUUCCUCCAUCUAUCUCUGUUUCCAGCUGUAGUUCCAGCUUCAUCCCAACUAGUAAGCACUUCAGUAAUCUUAGAGGGCAUUGUCCAGGAGAUACCUCUGAGAUUAAUAAAUAUCUUC